rnacentral:lncRNA from 1 species
GUUCAAGACCAUAUAGAGCCCCGUAGAUGAGUGCAUGACACAGCAUUAAGUUAGGAAGAAAACCUAUUUAACCCUCCCAAAGAUGUGGGCAAUCUUGUUUGCUUUUCUGGGAUUAUCUUACGCUAUAUAUGGAGUGUCUUGCUUGACAUGUUCAUUUGAUGACGGAUUGUGUGGAUGGAAGCACCCAGAAAAUGCUACGCAAACAUGGAUAUUAGCCGACGGAAUAAGUAAAAACUGCUUCAGUAUAUUGUAC